CUUUAUUCCUUUUAUAUUUACGCCGUGUUUCUAAAUACAUUCAAACAUAAUGGAUCAAAUGAUGAGCUUUAGGGUUCAAAAAGACUACGAGGAGCUAAGUGAGGAACAACUGAACGAAGAUCAAAG